UACGUAGGGUGCAAGCGUUGUCCGGAAUUAUUGGGCGUAAAGGGCUCGUAGGCGGUCCGUCACGUCGGGAGUGAAAACUUGGGGCUUAACCCCAAGCCUGCUUCCGAUACGGGCGGACUAGAGGUAGGCAGGGGAGAACGGAAUUCCUGGUGUAGCGGUGAAAUGCGCAGAUAUCAGGAGGAACACCGGUGGCGAAGGCGGUUCUCUGGGCCGAUACUGACGCUGAGGAGCGAAAGCAUGGGUAGCGAACAGG
rnacentral:rRNA from 1 species